UACAGAGGGUGCGAGCGUUGUCCGGAAUCACUGGGCGUAAAGGGCGCGUAGGCGGCUCGGUCAGCGUGCGGUGAAAGCCCGGGGCUCAACCCCGGGUCGGCCGUGCGAACUGCUGGGCUGGAGCACUGUAGAGGCAGGUGGAAUUCCGGGUGUAGCGGUGGAAUGCGUAGAGAUCCGGAAGAACACCGGUGGCGAAGGCGGCCUGCUGGGCAGUAGCUGACGCUGAGGCGCGACAGCGUGGGGAGCAAACAGG
rnacentral:rRNA from 1 species